UAUGCAUCAUCGUGGAUUUUAAAUAUUACUCGUGCAGUCACUUCCCGUCAUGGUCAAAUAGAGGAGUUUUACUUGAACUUCUUCUCCAAACAACUGUUGAAAAAAGAAGAACUGGCGCAACUUCACAGCCAUCAGGCUGCCUACGAGCUUAAGCAAAAAUAACUCCCGCAAAGCUUCGCUUACGCGAGUUUCAGCACAGUGGCGGCAUUCAAGAAACUAGUUUUCCUGCUCACUUUCAGCCUCUACGCAAACGACAUUGCAGAAUGCUCAUAUAAGUAUUGCCUCCUGCGUCCGUCAUACGGCAGCUGCAAAGGUCUUUUUAGGAAGUGGUACUAUGAUCCGAGAAUACGAAACUGCAAAAUGUUUUUUUAUUCGGGGUGUGGCGGAAACGACAACAGAUUCUCCAAAGAAAUGUGGUGUCAGUGGUACUGCCUACCGAGAAACAAGAUGAGGAAAAGCGUUUGUAGCCGAAGAAAGUACGGCGAAAAAUGCUAUGGCCGUAAAGGGCGAUGGUACUUUGAUAAGUAUACCAAUACUUGCCGCAAAUUCCGAGAUGGAUACUGCGGAUUAGUACCGAACAGUUUCGAGACCUGUUUCCAAUGCAUGAACAGAUGUAGUGACCGUGAUCCAAAUACUGCCUGCGAUGAGUUCAUCAGCCUAAAGAAAGGGCAACCAGCAAAAACGAUGACAACACCUUCUGACAACCCUUCGACGACGUCUUCCAGACCCAGAGCCCCCUCUUUUCACCAGAGCCAUGAAAGGCGGACCCAGUGAUCAAUUAAAUUUUGAGCAGUUUG